CAUUCCCAAAAUCCAAACACAAUACAUAUCACCACUAUUACAAAGAUCUAAGUGGUUUAGCUAUAACUUGUAUACUCGAGCCGAAAAUGGACUGUAGGUAGAAAAUAUGUAUUCUUCUCAUGGUUCCUUGUAUACAGACCAUCAUCAACAUAUUUCAAAUAACUCCUAUUAAUUUUCAGUUCUUAUACGUCGUGAUAAAGCUCCCACAACCUAAGUCCAAAUUGAUGUCGAACUAACGAAAUAUGAAUUUGAACUACUAACUGUAUGAAAAAGAUAUGGUACACAUAAUAUUACCAUAGAAAUGGUAAGUAUCAUUUUUUGUCUUCUAUGUUACACAUGUUUUUUUGAUAGUUAUGCAUGAGUGUAUCCACCAUCCACAAAAAAUAAAAUAAUAUAUACUUAUGGUUAAAAUUGAGAAGAAUCAUAAUAAUAAGACUCACAAGAGAUAUCAAAUGAUUGCACUCUUGGUCUGUCAGAAAACCCUCGUACACAAAAGCUCUGCAAAACCAUCCAAUUGAACUGAGUUAGUUAGUGGGAAUUGGUUGUUAAAAUCCUACGAUAUGGGAUACAUGUGCUACGAUUCGUAUCGUUUCCUUCCAAAAACAAUAUGCAUCUCAUCCCGUAUCCUUGUAUAAAAAUCAUUCGAUACCAUGACGUAUCCUACGAUAUAUUAGCGUAUCCUGAUUCGGUAUGUACCUUACUAUUACUUUUU